rnacentral:rRNA from 1 species
AACUUCAAGAUAAGAUUUCCCACCGUAAGGGUAAGAUCCCAGGAAGACUACCUGGUUGAUAGGUCAAAGGUGUAAGUGCAGCAAUGUAUGUAGCUUAUUGAUACUAAUAGAUCGAGGACUUGACCAA